CCGAGCCUUCAAAGGGGCCGCCGGCCGCCAAUUUGAUUUGCAGGUUAUUAGCUAAUUAGCUAGCGACUCACUGGGCUUGUUGCCCUCCAGGCCUGGUGGUGGGGACGUAAACUGGAGGAGACACAAGAGUGAGGACCGUCACAUGUUUUUAACCAACAAAGCGAGGACAUUUCCCCUGUCCUCACUCUCUUUGCAGAAUUCAAAACUUAACACAACUCAACAUAAUUUGCUGCAGGACGGCUCGCUCUGCAGCAGCUGGCUGCGAACGCACCACUCGAGUCUUUGUUGUGUUGACAAGCAGGACGGAGAGGUCAGCGUCUGUCAGUCACUGGCUUUUGUUUGUUUGAGUCGACGUGCYGGUGAAAGUGACACGCUGCUGAUUGUUGAGUUCUGUUUCUGGGUCUUAAACUUAA